CUUCUUCAUUUUCUUUUGCUUAGUUUAUGGUUUAUUUUCUCCAUCCUCGGUCCUAUCAUUUCUGUACCAUUUAAACUUUUGAUCUUUUUCUUUUUGUAUGAAUUCCUCUACUGAAGUUUUAGUUUCUCAUAGCCUUCAGGUUUUCUUAGUGAUAUUAGUCUUUUUUUCUUGUACGAAUAGGCUUUAGUCUACAUAAGUGGCGAUGUUGGAUGCCAUGGCGACUUACAGUUUGCUAGGAAAUGGCCGAUCGAAAGAGGCCCAUGUGCGCCUGGUAAAUUUGUGUAUUCAAUGUUGAUUUAGUCUUCUUAGUGAUCUUUAGUAUUCAAUGUAGAUUUAGUACCUGGCUACCUACCCCCUUUUCACUAUUUUUUGCAUACUUUAAAAUUUCUUCAUUCUCCUUCCUGCGCCUUUCCACCAUUUUUAGUAUUAUCAGGAGCUGAGUAUUCCCACCUUAGUUGUCCUAGUAUUUAUAGUAUUUGAUCAACUCCUGGCUACCUGCCCACUUCUCACUUUUUAGCCUAUUUUGAUUUUUCUUCAACUCUGUUUACUACUUAUUAGAGCUUAGAUUCCUGGGCUAGUGGUUUUUCUACACCCAAUGCUAGUGCUUAUUAGUACAUGAAUAAAUCAUUGCCCAAGCCAAUUUUGUGUUGUUUCAUUAUCCGUAGUUACAGAAUAAUAGGUUUUGGUUUUUAGUAGCGAUCUUGCUCAUUACACAGGACAAUUUUCAGAAAUGAUUGCAGCCUUCUGUGUUUUUACUCAUCAAUGCUAAGAUGCAUGGCUAGGGGCUUUUCCUUCUCUUAAGCAUGAGGGUUUUUGUAUUGUUUCAUAUGGGUGGCUAAGCCAUCGACUAUUUUCUAUGAAGAUGAAGACAAUUAACACAAGGUUACAUUUCUAGACAAAGAUUGAUGCAAAUAGAGGUACUAAAACGGAGAAGGUGUGCGGGGGUUGAAGUACUUAUGCAGAGAGUGGAUGAGAUCGAGAAGUUUGCCCAUCUAGAUCUUCCUUCUUCAGUUUGCUGCAGUGAGCGGUGGUGCAGUGUAUCUUUGCAUGAGGAGGAAGAAAAGUGAUGACGUGGUGGUAGUUGGUAAAAGAUACCCAGAAAUAGGGACCUUUUGUGCUCAUGUGUAAGACCCAAAAUAGAAAUAUCGGGCUUUCCCUUUUUUUACCCCGUGUGUUUCAUUACCAGGAGCGAAUUUGAUCACUAGGAAGACUUCCAUCUAAAAAAACCGGGUAGAGAACCAGACUCAAGUGCAAUGAAUGGAUUGGUUUAUUUUCAACUCA